UCUAUUAGAUGCUUCCAGGUGUCCUUUUGUUGCUAACCUUUUCCCUCCACUACCUGAGGAGACAUCUGAGCAAUCCAAGUUCUCUUCAAUUGGUUCCCGCUUCAAGGUAAGCUUGUCCACAUGAAAUAGCAGCAUCCUGUAUGAUACAGAAAAUAAUUCAGACCGUGAGUACUGACGCUUAGCUUAAAAUGAGCAUCCAGCAACAAUUACAAGCUUGAAUGGAGACAUUGAAUACAACAGAACCGCAUUACAUAAGAUGUGUAAAGCCAAAUACAGUACUCAAGCCUGGAAUCUUUGAGAACAUCGAUGUCUUAAACCAACUAAGAUGUGGGGUAAGAUAAAUUCACUUGGUUCCUUGUUGAGAACGUGUAGCUUUGAUUCUCACUUUUUCUGAUGGGGAAAAACAUUUGUUUCCUAUCUAUUUAUCAAGUUUCUCCGAUUGAUAAUGAUUAUUGUAAUGGAUUUUACAACAGGGAGUACUAGAGGCAAUUAGGAUAAGUUGUGCUGGUUAUCCAACCAAAAGAACAUUUGAUGAGUUCCUUGAUCGUUUUGGAAUGCUGACUCCUGAUGUUCUAGAUGGGUAUGAAUUCUAGUGCAGUUACUUGUCAUUUGGCAUAAGCAUUUGUGGCACAGAAGUCUCAAAGUCAGGGCUGGAAAGGAGAGUAAUGAACUGUUUAGCUACAAAAAUUAUUUUGAGCAGAAAUUGUAUCUUAUCUUACAGAAUAUGACGUGCUAUUGUAACAUUCCCCCCCUGAAUGCUUCGUUUAGAUUGGGAAGACAAAGGUGUUCCUCAGAGCUGGGCAGAUGGCUGAGUUAGAUGCACGAAGAGCUGAAGUUUUGGC
rnacentral:lncRNA from 1 species